GGCCGCCUGGCGAAAUGGCAUCGCGUCUGACUACGAUGAGCGACUGAUCAAUUGUAUCAGGAGAUUGCAGGUUCGACCUCUGCGGUGGUCA